CUGGGAGGAAGCUCUCCGUAGAGGCCACGUGCUGGGUGCCCAUCACCCUUUGUCCCGCCUCUGGGAAGGUCUGAGAGAAGGGCCAAGUUUGCCACCCUAGCAGGGUGCCACCUUCUGAAGGUGGGUGAGUUCCCAGCAAUGCGGGUCUCCGAUCCAGCCCUAGAAUCCGAGGCAGGAGAAGUGGAGAGGGGCCCCGCGGGCUCCUUCUCGCGGAUGCCUCAGUGGCUUGUUCGGGAUUUGGGAAUGACUCACGGCCGGCAACUUUGAGUACAAUGGGAAGAGGUGAAGCAACGCCAGCUUCAUAACCCAAUUCAGACUAGUCUCCCCCCAG
ensembl:ribozyme RNaseP_nuc Nuclear RNase P